rnacentral:misc_RNA from 1 species
AAUGAAGAACGUAGCGAAAUGCGAUAAGUAAUGUGAAUUGCAGAAUUCAGUGAAUCAUCGAAUCUUUGAACGCACAUUGCGCCCCUUGGUAUUCCGGGGGGCAUGCCUGUUCGAGCGUCAUUAUAACCCUCAAGCCUAGCUUGGUGUUGGAGCAUGCUACCUAAGCAGCUCUUAAAAUCAGUGGCAGUGCCCUUCGGCUCUAAGCGUAGUAACUUCUCUCGCUAUGGAACCCGGAGGGUACGCGCCAGAACCCCCAACUUUCUAUGGUUGACCUCGGAUCAGGUAGGGAUACCCGCUGAACUUAAGCAUAUCAAUAAGCGGAGGA